UGAACGCUGGCGGUAGGCUUAACACAUGCAAGUCGGACGGAAACGAUAUAGAAGCUUGCUUUUAUAGGCGUCGAGUGGCGGACGGGUGAGUAACGCGUGGGAAUCUACCCUAUAGUUGGGGACAACAUAUGGAAACGUAUGCUAAUACCGAAUAUGAUCUACGGAUUAAAGGAGCCCUCUUCUUGAAAGGUUUCGCUAUAGGAUGAGCCCGCGUUAGAUUAGCUAGUUGGUAAGGUAAUGGCUUACCAAGGCUACGAUCUAUAGCUGGUUUGAGAGGAUGAUCAGCCACACUGGGACUGAGACACGGCCCAGACUCCUACGGGAGGCAGCAGUGGGGAAUAUUGCACAAUGGACGAAAGUCUGAUGCAGCCAUACCGCGUGUGUGAAGAAGGCCCGAGGGUUGUAAAGCACUUUCAAUAGCGAGGAAGAUAGUGUAGUUAAUACCUGCAUUGUUUGACGUUAACUAUAGAAGAAGCACCGGCUAACUCU
rnacentral:rRNA from 1 species